AAGACCGCAUCCUCUCUGACUACGAAUCAGAAGGUCGGGGGUUCGAGUCCCUUCCGGCGCACCA
rnacentral:tRNA from 1 species